ACACAAAUCGAAUUUGUGAUUAAAGCUCAAUGAGGUAUGAAAUUUUAUUUUCUCCACAAAUUAGAUAUGUCCUAUCAUUAAGGGGGAGAUACUUCAUAGGUAUCUAUUUUUAACUUUGUCGAUACCUUAUUGUUUUAAGGGAGAGAAAUCAUGCAUGAUCCACUGCUUUUAAAUUGAAUAUUAUGGGUCAAUAAUUCAGGGGGAGCAUGCUCAUAAGGGUAAAAUAGAAUAUUGACUAGACAUGAGUUAAAACAUAUAUGCCAUCGACAAAG
rnacentral:lncRNA from 1 species